UUAAGUUAUUAAGGGCGCACGGUGGAUGCCUUGGCACUAGAAGCCGAUGAAGGACGUUACUAACGACGAUAUGCUUUGGGGAGCUGUAAGUAAGCUUUGAUCCAGAGAUUUCCGAAUGGGGAAACCCAGCAUGAGUUAUGUCAUGUUAUCGAUAUGUGAAUACAUAGCAUAUCAGAAGGCACACCCGGAGAACUGAAACAUCUUAGUACCCGGAGGAAGAGAAAGAAAAUUCGAUUCCCUUAGUAGCGGCGAGCGAAACGGGAAGAGCCCAAACCAAAAAGCUUGCUUGUUGGGGUUGUAGGACACUCUAUACGGAGUUACAAAGGACGACAUUAGACGAAUCAUCUGGAAAGAUGAAUCAAAGAAGGUAAUAAUCCUGUAGUCGAAAAUGUUGUCUCUCUUGAGUGGAUCCUGAGUACGACGGAGCACGUGAAAUUCCGUCGGAAUCUGGGAGGACCAUCUCCUAAGGCUAAAUACUCUCUAGUGACCGAUAGUGAACCAGUACCGUGAGGGAAAGGUGAAAAGCACCCCGGAAGGAGAGUGAAAUAGAACCUGAAACCGUGUGCUUACAAGUAGUCAGAGCCCGUUAAUGGGUGAUGGCGUGCCUUUUGUAGAAUGAACCGGCGAGUUACGAUUUGAUGCAAGGUUAAGCAGUAAAUGUGGAGCCGUAGCGAAAGCGAGUCUGAAUAGGGCGUUUAGUAUUUGGUCGUAGACCCGAAACCAGGUGAUCUACCCUUGGUCAGGUUGAAGUUCAGGUAACACUGAAUGGAGGACCGAACCGACUUACGUUGAAAAGUGAGCGGAUGAACUGAGGGUAGCGGAGAAAUUCCAAUCGAACCUGGAGAUAGCUGGUUCUCUCCGAAAUAGCUUUAGGGCUAGCCUCAAGUGAUGAUUAUUGGAGGUAGAGCACUGUUUGGACGAGGGGCCCCUCUCGGGUUACCGAAUUCAGACAAACUCCGAAUGCCAAUUAAUUUAACUUGGGAGUCAGAACAUGGGUGAUAAGGUCCGUGUUCGAAAGGGAAACAGCCCAGACCACCAGCUAAGGUCCCAAAAUAUAUGUUAAGUGGAAAAGGAUGUGGCGUUGCCCAGACAACUAGGAUGUUGGCUUAGAAGCAGCCAUCAUUUAAAGAGUGCGUAAUAGCUCACUAGUCGAGUGACACUGCGCCGAAAAUGUACCGGGGCUAAACAUAUUACCGAAGCUGUGGAUUGUCCUUUGGACAAUGGUAGGAGAGCGUUCUAAGGGCGUUGAAGCAUGAUCGUAAGGACAUGUGGAGCGCUUAGAAGUGAGAAUGCCGGUGUGAGUAGCGAAAGACGGGUGAGAAUCCCGUCCACCGAUUGACUAAGGUUUCCAGAGGAAGGCUCGUCCGCUCUGGGUUAGUCGGGUCCUAAGCUGAGGCCGACAGGCGUAGGCGAUGGAUAACAGGUUGAUAUUCCUGUACCACCUAUAAUCGUUUUAAUCGAUGGGGGGACGCAGUAGGAUAGGCGAAGCGUGCGAUUGGAUUGCACGUCUAAGCAGUAAGGCUGAGUAUUAGGCAAAUCCGGUACUCGUUAAGGCUGAGCUGUGAUGGGGAGAAGACAUUGAGUCUUCGAGUCGUUGAUUUCACACUGCCGAGAAAAGCCUCUAGAUAGAAAAUAGGUGCCCGUACCGCAAACCGACACAGGUAGUCAAGAUGAGAAUUCUAAGGUGAGCGAGCGAACUCUCGUUAAGGAACUCGGCAAAAUGACCCCGUAACUUCGGGAGAAGGGGUGCUCUUUAGGGUUAACGCCCAGAAGAGCCGCAGUGAAUAGGCCCAAGCGACUGUUUAUCAAAAACACAGGUCUCUGCUAAACCGUAAGGUGAUGUAUAGGGGCUGACGCCUGCCCGGUGCUGGAAGGUUAAGAGGAGUGGUUAGCUUCUGCGAAGCUACGAAUCGAAGCCCCAGUAAACGGCGGCCGUAACUAUAACGGUCCUAAGGUAGCGAAAUUCCUUGUCGGGUAAGUUCCGACCCGCACGAAAGGCGUAACGAUUUGGGCACUGUCUCAACGAGAGACUCGGUGAAAUCAUAGUACCUGUGAAGAUGCAGGUUACCCGCGACAGGACGGAAAGACCCCGUGGAGCUUUACUGUAGCCUGAUAUUGAAAUUCGGCACAGCUUGUACAGGAUAGGUAGGAGCCUUUGAAACGUGAGCGCUAGCUUACGUGGAGGCGCUGGUGGGAUACUACCCUAGCUGUGUUGGCUUUCUAACCCGCACCACUUAUCGUGGUGGGAGACAGUGUCAGGCGGGCAGUUUGACUGGGGCGGUCGCCUCCUAAAAGGUAACGGAGGCGCUCAAAGGUUCCCUCAGAAUGGUUGGAAAUCAUUCAUAGAGUGUAAAGGCAUAAGGGAGCUUGACUGCGAGACCUACAAGUCGAGCAGGGUCGAAAGACGGACUUAGUGAUCCGGUGGUUCCGCAUGGAAGGGCCAUCGCUCAACGGAUAAAAGCUACCCCGGGGAUAACAGGCUUAUCUCCCCCAAGAGUUCACAUCGACGGGGAGGUUUGGCACCUCGAUGUCGGCUCAUCGCAUCCUGGGGCUGUAGUCGGUCCCAAGGGUUGGGCUGUUCGCCCAUUAAAGCGGUACGCGAGCUGGGUUCAGAACGUCGUGAGACAGUUCGGUCCCUAUCCGUCGUGGGCGUAGGAAAUUUGAGAGGAGCUGUCCUUAGUACGAGAGGACCGGGAUGGACAUACCUCUGGUGUACCAGUUGUCGUGCCAACGGCAUAGCUGGGUAGCUAUGUGUGGACGGGAUAAGUGCUGAAAGCAUCUAAGCAUGAAGCCCCCCUCAAGAUGAGAUUUCCCAACUUCGGUUAUAAGAUCCCUCAAAGAUGAUGAGGUUAAUAGGUUCGAGG
rnacentral:rRNA from 1 species